rnacentral:lncRNA from 1 species
UCGUAAAAUAUCAGCUGCGAGACAUAAUAUGAAGCUUUUUGUCGAGUGAGCGUAGCGAACGAGAUGAAAAAGCCUUCAUAUAAUGUCAAGCAGCUGAUAUUUUACAAUAUCAAUAUGCAGAUAAUCUGAUAAUCGAUUUAUCGGGCUAUAUUUGCGUGUUUCAGAAGUGUUUUCUUUGUUUCACCAGCACACAAAAGAUGACUUGAUAAGUUCGGGUCAAAGUUAUUAACGUCGGUUCAAACAUUAUGACGUCGCUGAUAUGUCCGGGUCAAAGUUAUUAAGGCCGGGUCAACGUAUUUGACGUCACAAAGACAUGAUACGGAAAAAUAUUAAGAACUGAACAGAGUGAUAUAGACAGUGGGACGACCGAUAAACGAUUUUAUCUUUCCCUUUCGGUGAAACCUCUGUUAACGGUUGCUAUAUACCUCUAUUUGCUAUUUCU